AGUGUCUUGAGCUUUGCAUGCACAUGUAACAUCUUCAUUAUGUGCUCUCUAAUUUUUUUAUUUCCCUUAUACUUUAUGGAAACAAGAGUCGACAGAAGUGUACAUGCUUCGGCUUUAUCACUUAUGGCAAAACGUUGUUCUAGAAAAUGAAAAAAAUCUCUAGUUAUUGUGAUUUUAUCGGACAUAAUGCCCCGAAAAAUAUUUAGAAUGACUUAUUCUGUAACUAACAUACUCAUACGGUUUGACCGAUCUCAUCUUUCAAACUCCUUCUUUUCCUCAAGGGUGCUGUUAGGAGUAAUUGGAUAAGUUUGAUCAACCUGUAAAACCUAAUCCAGAUCCAUAACUCUACGUACAAGUCGAACACUAUUCUUCCAUUGCUUGAAAUUCGUGUUGUUCAAUAUUGGGAUGGAAUUAACAUUCGCAGUGAUACUUCCAGUAAAAAAGAAAGCUGAACAGAGA
rnacentral:lncRNA from 1 species